AAUUGGGAACGUGGAAGAAUAUUUUAAUUUGGAGAAUCAUAGUGUGAAACAGUAACAUAGUGGGUGGAGAAUCCAUAAUAUCUUGGGAUUUUUAAAGAUAUUUAAGAGAAUAGUAGCGUUACAACUUCCGAGACACCAUAUGUUAUAUGAGUACUGGGAAGUGUGGCAUUGUAGACGGCAGAGCAUGGUAUGUUGGCACGCUAAAGCACAUUGCGUGCUCAUCAUGUGAAGCAUGACAUCAGUGAAAGAAAUUGAACGGCGUUAUUGGUUGAUCGGGCUGUUCUAAAUGGUUAAAAUUACGGGAAAAAAAAUCGAAGGCAAGGCCAAUUGGAGCAGCAUCCCGAAUUCCAAGUGACGUUCAGCCCGAAGAGAGCGACGGCGGAGCUCCGCCACUCGAGCUCCAUCGGUAAUCGCGCCACCUCGUCCCCCUCCACUGUGGCCUCAUCCCCAUUUUCGUCCGACUACAGCUCCGCCGCUGCCUCCGGCGACGAGAAGGUUGAAUCGCGCAAAUUUUGCUGAAGAGAGAAGAGAAGGUUGAAUGGCGCGACGAUGUUAAUUUUCAAAUGAGAGCAUUUUACUUUCUGCCCUAAUUUUAUCUGUGAAGUGACCAUUAUACCCCCCGCCUUGUUAUAGUGAAGUAAAUUUGUGAUAAGAGUGAACUGAUUCUCCUUUAAAUUCGAAAAUCACAUGUAUUAAUACUAGCCUUUGAUUUUCUUGA